UACCACCGGCCCUUUUGAAUUGUGUGUAUGAUGCUCCAUUUUGUCACUUUACCGAUUCAAGCUGGAGUUCCUCCUUCUGGAGAACCGCCGUAGAGACAACUGCCUGGCGUUUGAAGUAGCCGUGUCCUAAGGCUCCAGUAUUAUUUUAAGUGAUUUAUUGUAUUAAGUGAUACAUGUUGUUUUGUUGGAUACUUAUUAUAAUCAGAGGUUAUCGAUGAAGGGGACAUGAUAGUAAAGGGCUGAAGAAAGGAGUUUAACCUAGCCUGUUCACUGGGUUAGAGUAUUAGUGAGACCCUCUUGUAUUCGCCUAUGUACGUGAGCCACCCUCAGACCUCUCUGUAGUCUGUGCUCACCCACCAUAUGCUCUCACCCUGUUUCAUGACUUACAUAACAGCCCCAGCUGACAACAUGGCAAGCCCAGACCUCUUCCUCACUCCAUACCUAGAUGUCCAACUGCCAACUCCUUUACUUGGAGGCAUGUGACUUACCAUGCCCAAGACCUAAUGUGACUUUGAAAGUCUUUGUAGUGAAAUCGUAUGUGUCAGUGGUAACCAGGUGUCUUAGUUAGGGUUGCUCAGGCCCCUUUCUUAUAGAACCCAGGACCACCAGCUCAGGAGUGGCACCACAGGGAAGUAAAGUCUUAAGUCGGCAGCCUCUUGCCUCUGUUAUCCAUAAACCCUGCUUGCCUCUAUGAUGUUGAAAAAGAAAUGUCCACAGAAGAAAGGAGCAAGAGCCCAAUUCUGAUUAUACUUGUUAGUAUUUUAUUCUAGUCUGGUAGUUGCUAUUUUAACAUUUUUUAUUAUUAAAUCAGGGCAACACAACUAUUUAUGUGCUGGAAGGAACGAUUGCAUCAUUGAUAAGAUUCGGCGGAAGAACUGCCCUGCCUGCAGACUCCAGAAAUGUCUCCAAGCUGGUAUGAACUUAGGAGUGCUUGAAAUCUUAACUACAGCAAUAAGAGAAUGCAGUAAAAUGGGUACAAAUGGGAAAGGAAGAAGUCGAAGUUUGCAGUCGGUGUGAUGCAGAAUAUGAGACCUUGGAGAUUUCACAACGCCCUUAGGACUGAUAAACACUUAAGGAGAGUAGCAGGAUGCAAAAGGAACACAGAAAAAUCUAUGGCUGUAUGUACCGAUACAGAACAUGCUGAGAAAGAAACCAGGAAAACAGUUUCAUUCAGAGUUGAUGCCUUGGAAUAAACCCAACCAAAGAAGUGAAAGACCUCUGCAAUGAAAACUUUGAAACACUGAAUGAAGAAAUUGAAAAA